AGCCAAUGAUGACAAAUUAAACAAACUUUUCUGACACCUACUAUGAGAGCUGAGCUGCAGCUCCUGAUUCUGACUUUAUUCUGAGGCUU